ensembl:lncRNA
AUAGGUUCCUAUUGUAGGAAGUGUUCACACAACACUGUUUCAACUAAAAAUUAUUUUUUUAAAAGCUGUUGGUCAUUCAUUUACAUCCCAGCUAACAAUUUUUGGUUCAACGUUAACGGAACGUUAGUUUUUGGGUCCCAGAACUUUUUUUUUUUUAUGGUUUGUUUUUGGUUAGCCAAGAAAAUUUUCUUAGCGUUCCCAGAACGUUAGUUUUUGGUGCCCAGAACGUUAUGCUAAUGUUCCUAUAAUGUUAUUCUAAUGUUAAUCUAACGUUCCCCUGACGUUAGUUUUUUUUUAACGUUAUUAUAGCAUUCCCCUAACAUUUUUACUCCGAUAUGAUCACCCCGCUGUACGUCAGUAAUCAUCCAGCACACUCGUGAUAUAUAAGCGGCAUGGAAAUUAUAUGUAUGGACGCUUAAUCAGUAUUAUAAAAAACACAUUUUGUUUUUAUCUAUUGUUUAAGUAUUGUUUAUAAUCGGAGCACAUCAACCUGCAUAUUAAAUAAGAUUAAAUCUGUCCAUUAAUAUGUAAUAUUAUGGAGUACCCAUAUUUUACAUUUCUUCAGCACCAAAUAAAAAUGACUUCAACACAAUAUAUAUAGUUAGGCUUUUAAAUCCCUCCACAGCAAAUUCGGUGGUGUUACAGUGUUCAAAUAAAAGUGUGCAUUUACUGUAAUAAACACCAGCUUGUGUGACAUGGUGCCCCCAAGUGGUGCAAUAUUUUGAUGCUGCGCUUCCGAACCAUAGACAGUAAAAAAAACACCUGUCCAGUGUUAAUUGUACAUACGGGAACUUGAAGUAAUUGAGACAAUGCAGUCCGCAUUUGACAAUCUUCCCUGGUGGGAAAAAUGGCGGCUCUUUCGGUGGAAUCGUGCGAUUGAAAGCAAAACAAAAAAGUCAAGCAGAAGUUUGACAUCUGACUAGCUGACGAGACUGGAACAGAAGUAGAUGAUGUUUUUGCUGACAUUAUUGACCAAAAGCCUGACUUUCUUUGGAUGAUAGUUGAUGCUGUGGCUGUAGCACGUAUGAAAAGAUGUAAUUAUAUCUAUAUGUGUAUAUAUGCUAUUGUACUAAUUUUCUAUUUGACUUUAAGACUCUCCUCCACACGCAAGCUGUCAUCUUCAAAUGAGACAGAUACACCAUCACUUCAUUCAGUUGCAUCAUCGUCGGACACACAGCCAUCAGACAGCGAUGGUCCUUUCUUCCCACCUAAAAGAGCUCGUUCUAAUGACCAUUUGCAAGAAGCUAAGGAGCUUGUGAAAAGUGUUUUAGAAAAGCCUGCUGGGGAGAAGAUAUUUCAGAACACUGCCACACCAGUCAAGGAGGUACAGGCAGUUCAUUAUGUAUGCUAAUCAAGAGCAAGGAUAAUCACUUUGUGUAGAUAAAAUAGCUUAUGUAUAUUGGUAUAUGAUUAUAUAGAUUUGUUAUGGUUUGCGUUUUCUUUUUUUGAAUUUAGACUGGGACAGUGUUAUGUAUUCCCAGUUAUUGCUGGUCUAUCUCCUGCCACCACCUUCUAGCGGAAAUAAGUUUGUCAAGAUCAGUGUGCGUGAAGCUUUGGAUCGCGUAGUAAGAUUUCACAAGGUAUGGUUACUCUUAAUGUUAUGUAGAACUGCAUGUCAUGCCUAGAAUGCUUAUUAAUGUGUAGGUGUACAUUAUUUUUCGAGAAUGUUUUUUUUCUGUUUUCAGUCCUCUUGCAGUUUUGAAGAAGUCCUUGGAUCAACACAGACAACACAGCCCUACAUCUUGACAGUUGGCACUUUGAAGAGUAGCAUCCAUUACUACUACAUUGCUGUGGAUGAGCGGCUCACCCCCUGCAUGACUAAAGGCCAAUUUAUACUUCUGCGUCGAGUGUACGCCGUAGUGUACGUCGUAGGCUACGCACGUAGGCGACGCCGUCGUGAGCAUUUAUACUUCUGCGUAUGUCUGUUUUGCUCUGCAGUUACACCGCCGAAACGCUAGUUGACGUGAGCGGGUUCCACUGUGUUUAUAUGCACUCCGCUACAUCUAAACCGACGUUGGAGGAAAUCUCCCACCACGAAUUCGCUGCCAUCUGGCAGUCUUUGUAAUCUCCCGAAGAGGAGUCAUACAGAUGGCUGUAUUUCCUCACUUCUUCAAUUAAUCGCUCGGUCACUUGGUCCAUUUCCAUGUUGGCUCUUCACUGAAUUUCGGAAUUUAAAAAUGGCGGGCGGUCCAGAGUGCAGAAGAUCAUUCCGGAAAUGCGUAGGAGGAAACGUGAUACCACCAAGCCGACCAAUCACAGAUCUUGCAGUCCGCGUCGUCGCGACGCGUAGUUAAAUUUUUGAGGAGGUGCGCGUCAGGGUACAGCGAAGGGUACGACGUAUGGUACAUGUCAAUGCGUAUGCUACGCCGUACCUACUACGCGCACCCGACACAGAAGUAUAAAUUGGCCUUUAGUCCUCUCUCUCAGCCUUUGAAGUUCUCAAUGUAUUGAUAUUUUAAUAUUUCUGAAAACUAUGCAGUGAAUAUCAUGCAUGACAUGCUAGAGGGAGUAGCACAGUUAGAGAUGAAGUUGCUUUUUGAUUAUCAAAGUUGUGUCCUUACAGUCUGCGAGCAACAGAAUUUACUCAUUUAACUAUGGUUAUUUUGAACGUAAAAACUGACCUACCGUGGUUAAGUUUGAAGAAGCUGGGAAUGGGAUGGGUCUCAAUGCCAUCCAGACAUUUGCCUCAUUAGAAAUCUGCUUCUACUGCAGAUAAUAAAUAGUGUUUUCUCCAGUCA